GUCCACGCCCUAAACGAUGUCGACUGGUUGUUGGGGGUUUGACACUCUCAGUAACGAAGCUAACGCGUGAAGUCUACCGCCUGGGGAGUACGGCCGCAAGGUUAAAACUCAAAGGAAUUGACGGGGACCCGCACAAGCGGUGGAUUAUGUGGAUUAAUUCGAUGCAACGCGAAAAACCUUACCUACCCUUGACAUGUCCUGAAUCCUGCAGAGAUGUGGGAGUGCCCGAAAGGGAACGGGAACACAGGUGCUGCAUGGCUGUCGU
rnacentral:rRNA from 1 species